rnacentral:rRNA from 1 species
UACGAAGGGGGCUAGCGUUGCUCGGAAUCACUGGGCGUAAAGCGCACGUAGGCGGAUUGCUAAGUCAGGGGUGAAAUCCUGGAGCUCAACUCCAGAACUGCCUUUGAUACUGGCGAUCUUGAGUCCGGGAGAGGUGAGUGGAACUGCGAGUGUAGAGGUGAAAUUCGUAGAUAUUCGCAAGAACACCAGUGGCGAAGGCGGCUCACUGGCCCGGUACUGACGCUGAGGUGCGAAAGCGUGGGGAGCAAACAGGAUUAAGAAACCCUG